GCGGAUAUGGCGGAAUUGGUAGACGCGCUAGGUUUAGGUCCUAGUAAGGAAACUUGUGGGGGUUCAAGUCCCUCUAUCCGUAC
rnacentral:tRNA from 1 species